rnacentral:rRNA from 1 species
AGCUACAGCCAUAUCACCCUGAACAUGCCCUAUCUUAUCUGAUCUCAGAAGUUAAGCAGAGUAAAGCAGGGUCAGGCCUGGUUAGCACUUGUAAGAGAGGAAGCAAAAUAGUUGAAUUGUAAUAU